CGCGGGGUGGAGCAGUUCGGUAGCUCGCUGGGCUCAUAACCCAGAGGUCGCAGGUUCGAAUCCUGUCCCCGCUA
rfam:Saccharomonospora viridis DSM 43017, complete genome.